CAGCAGCCGCGGUAAUACGGAGGGUGCAAGCGUUGUUCGGAAUUAUUGGGCGUAAAGCGCGUGUAGGCGGUCGGGUAAGUCAGAUGUGAAAGCCUUCUGCUUAACAGAAGAAGUGCAUUUGAAACUGCCCGGCUGGAGUACGGGAGAGGAGAGUGGAAUUCCCGGUGUAGAGGUGAAAUUCGUAGAUAUCGGGAGGAACACCAGUGGCGAAGGCGGCUCUCUGGUCCGAUACUGACGCUGAGACGCGAAAGCGUGGGGAGCAAACAGGAUUAGAUACCCUGGUAGUCCACGCGGUAAACGAUGGGCACUAGGUGUAGGAGGUAUUGACCCCUUCUGUGCCGAAGCUAACGCAUUAAGUGCCCCGCCUGGGGAGUACGGCCGCAAGGCUAAAACUCAAAGGAAUUGACGG
rnacentral:rRNA from 1 species